UCUGCUCUAUGAGGUACUUGGUGGUGCCGUGCGCAUACGGGUGUGUAAUACAUUAGAAGGUUCUCCAUUGUGGGGGGUAAAAUAACGGAGAGCUAUGCUAAUACUCGCAUCUCAACUACCGAUGAAACCUUGGGAUGGCAAAGACCCUGCGAGAAUGCAGCGGUCCGAUGGCAGAUCUGGUAGUUGGUGAGGUAAAGGCUCACCAAGCCGUCGAUCUGUAGCUGGUCUGAGAGGAGGACCAGCCCCACGUGGGACUGAGACACGGCCCAGACUCCUACGGUAGGCAGCAGUGGGGAAUUUUGGACAAUGGGUGAAAGCCUGAUCCAGCCAUUCCGCGUGCAGGAUGAAGGCCUUUGGGUUGUAAAUUGCUUUUGUACGGAACGAAACGGCCUUUUCUAAUAAAGAGGGCUAAUGACGGUACCGUAAGAAUAAGCGCCGGCUAACCACGUGCCAGCAGCCGCGGUAAUACGUAGGGUGCAAGCGUUAAUCGGAAUUACUGGGCGUAAAGCGUGCGCAGGCGGUUAUGUAAGACAGUUGUGAAAUCCCCGGGCUCAACCUGGGAACUGCAUCUGUGACUGCAUAGCUAGAGUACGGUAGAGGGGGAUGGAAUUCCGCGUGUAGCAGUGAAAUGCGUAGAUAUGCGGAGGAACACCGAUGGCGAAGGCAAUCCCCUGGACCUGUACUGACGCUCAUGCACGAAAGCGUGGGGAGCAAACAGG
rnacentral:rRNA from 1 species